AAGUCGUAACAAGGUUUCCGUAGGUGAACCUGCGGAAGGAUCAUUAGCGAAGUUCGGAAUGCAUGUUCGGUGUUGAUGCUGCCCAGCGAUGGGAUGUGCUCGCUCGGAUGUGUGUCCCUUCUCUAUCCACCCCACUGUGAACCAAGUGUGUGAGCCGAAGAGAAAUCGGAUGCUCGCAUGCAAACCUUUAACAUACCCCAAUGAAGUAUCAGAAUGUACCUUGCGUUAACUCGCACAAAUAUAACUUUCAACAACGGAUCUCUUGGCUCUC
rnacentral:misc_RNA from 1 species